rnacentral:lncRNA from 1 species
GACGUGGUCAGUGUGCAUCUAGAACCAUCACUCCUAUUGCAGUGGAGAGGUGGUCAUAAGGGCAAAGUGAGCGGUAGUAGGGCCGAUGAGGAUGCUGCUGGAGCAAGCCAAGGAUGGAGACUGUGCUGGAUCCACCUUGGUACCCAUGAUGCUUGGCGCAGUGCUAGAGGCUCUGUGCAAACCUGCGUAGCAUUCGCUGAAUGCUUAGGACUGCACCAGUGGAUUUUAACGCUUUCCUUGCUGUCAGAGCCUAGGCAAAGGUUCCUACGAAAUUUCUGCCCUCAGGAAAUGAAGCCAUGUUUCUAGAGGGAGCUUGAACCUCUGA